rnacentral:misc_RNA from 1 species
GAUGAAGAACGCAGCGAAAUGCGAUAAGUAAUGUGAAUUGCAGAAUUCAGUGAAUCAUCGAAUCUUUGAACGCACAUUGAGCCCGCCAGUAUUCUGGCGGGCAUGCCUGUUCGAGCGUCAUUUCAACCAUCAAGCCCCAGGCUUGUGUUGGGGACCUGCGGCUGCCGCAGGCCCUGAAAACCAGUGGCGGGCUCGCUGUCACACCGGGCGUAGUAGAUUUUAUCUCGCUCAGGGCGUGCUGCGGGUUCCGGCCGUUAAAAAGCCUUUUUUACCCAAGGUUGACCUCGGAUCAGGUAGGAAGACCCGCUGAACUUAAGCAUAUCAAUAAGCGGAGGA